GGUGGUUUGGAGCUGGGGCGAGGUGCUGAGUGGCUGGGCAGAGUCUGGGUUUUGGAGCCAGGAGACCUGGCUGCAGUCAUCACACAAGCUUCUCCACCUCCCAGGACCUGUUUCCUCUUCUGAAUGCAGGGGAAUCGGGGAAGAUGAUUCAUGUGCCCCUUUCCAGCCCUCACUACCCGUGGACUUCCACGGAUCUCUCGCUGUCUUCUUUCUUCCUUAGCAUCCCUCCCUCCAAGAGGAAUCCCACCUGCCGCCGUGUUGCUGACACCCACAGCCAGAGAACCCACCACCUUCUGUCAUUGUGAUGCUGGUAAAUUGCCCUGAAAGUUUUAAUGAAUAAAGGAAUAAAUUAAUAAUGACCAGAAAAAC